rnacentral:rRNA from 1 species
AGUAGUGGCGAGCGAACGCGGAUUAGCCCAAACCAUAACUGUUACGGCAGUUGUGGGGUUGUAGGACUACGAUGUGGACUAUAUAAUUGAAUUAGAAUCAACUGGAAAGUUGAGCCGAAGAGGGUGAAAGCCCCGUAUAAGUAAGCUUAUAUUACCUAGUAGUAUCCUGAGUAGGGCGGAGCAGGUGAAACUCCGUUUGAAUCUGCCGGCACCAUCCGGUAAGGCUAAAUACUCCUGAGAGACCGAUAGUGAACUAGUACCGUGAGGGAAAGGUGAAA